ensembl:lncRNA
CAUACUGUUCCCAUACUGGUGUUACUGGUCCCAUACUGGUGUUUCUGGUCCCAUACUGGUCCCAUACUGGUGCUACUGGUCCCAUACUGCUCCCACACUGGUGUUUCUGGUCCCAUACUGGUCCCAUACUGGUCCCAUAGUGCUGUUUCUGGUCCCAUACUGGUCCCAUACCGGUGUUACUGGUCCCAUACUGGUGUUACUGGUCCCAUACCGGUGUUACUGGUCCCAUACUGGUGUUUCUGCUCCCAUACUGCUCCCAUCCUGGUCCCAUACUGGUGUUUCUGGUCCCAUACCGGUCCCAUACUUGUGUUACUGGUCCCAUACUGCUCCCAUACUGGUGUUACUGGUCCCAUACCGAUGUUACUGGUCCCAUAUCAGUGUUACUGGUCCCAUACUGGUGUUUCUGAUCCCAUACCAAUGUUACUGGUCCCAUACUGGUGUUACUGGUCCCAUACCGAUGUUACUGAUCCCAUACCGAUGUUACUGGUCCCAUAUCAGUGUUACCGGUCCCAUACUGGUGUUACUGGUCCCAUACUGGUGUACCUGAGGUCCUUGAUGGACAGCGUGCCUCGGAAGUCCCUGAGGAUCUCCAGCAGCACCCAGGACCAGUAGCUGCGGUAGCUCAGCUUGCCCAGAUCCGACAGCGGCUUUUCGGGGGAUCCCACGGUGCUCUCCAGCUUGGACAGCUCGUAACCUAAGGGCGGCCCCAAAACGGCCCCAAAUGGCACCAAACGACCCCAAAAUGGCCCCAAAUGGCACCCAAGUAGAUCAAAGUGGGCCCAAAUGGCACCAAAAUGGCCCCAAAUGUCAACAAAAUGGUCCCAAAAGGCCCCAAAAUGGCCCCAAAUGGCCCCCAAGUAGCUCAAAGUGGCCCCAAAUGGCACCCAAUUGGUCCCUAAUGACCCCAAAAUGGCCCCAAACGACCCCAAAGUGGCCCUAAAUGGCACCCAAGUAGCUCAAAGUAGCCCCAAACGACCCCAAAACGGCCCCAUAUGACCCCAAAAAGGCCCCAAAUGGCCCCCAGGUAGCUCAAAGUGGGCCCAAAUGGCACCCAAUUGGUCCCUAACAACCCCAAAAUGGCCCCAAACGACCCCAAAGUGGCCCUAAAUGGCCCCCAAGUAGCUCAAAGUGGCCCCAAAUCUCACCCAAAAUGUCCCAAACAAUCCCAAAAUGGCCCCAAACCACCCCAAAAUGGCCCUAAAUGGCACCCAAGUAGCUCAAAGUAGCCCCAAAUGGCAACAAAUGACCCCAAAAUGGCCCCAAACGACCUCAAAGUGGCCCUAAAUGGCCCCCAAGUAGCUCAAAGUGGACCCAAAUGUCACCAAAAUGGCCCCAAACGACCCCAAAGUGGCCCCAAAUGGCCCCCAAGUAGCUCAAAGUGGCCCCAAAUGGCACCCAAUUGGUCCCUAACAACCCCAAAACGGCCCCAAAUGACCCCAAAACGGCCCCAAAUGGCCCCCAAGUAGCUCAAAGUGAGCCCAAAUGGCACCAAAAUGGCCCCAAAUGACCCCAAAAUGGCCCCAAACAACCCCAAAAUGGCCCCAAAUGGCAACCAUGUAGCUCAAAGUGGCC